UUCGUAAGCAGUUCAUUAAGCCGAUAACACUUUAAACAGUAACACUGGCGCCUUCGGAGUCCCUCAGCCUGCGAUUGUCCCCAGACACCCAGGGAAUUCUGCCCGGAUUGGGAACCGCAAGAAUCUACUUUCACUAUGAGUCUCUUAAUUGUGGGCACCCUGGCCUGCGGCCAGCUUACAGAAGCCUGCCUGAGGCCUUCACAUCCCAGUGGCCAGGGGUCCUGGCCCAGGGCAUCAAGAACGCAGUGCUGUCUAACCUGUCUGGAGAUGAUGAGUAACUGAUAGGUAACUGAUGGAUAACUGACCAGCUACUGAUUAACCACAGUGGGGCUGCAGUGAGGUCGGAGACCGUGACCCCUGUGGCCACAGAGAUGGAAACUAAACCCCAUCCCACGAAAAGCCUGAAGUCUAAAGCCAUGUUCCCAGAGAUUCAGCUCAGCCAGGCACUAAGAGGAUGGUCAGCCUGGUCCACAGCGCCAUCUCGUGGCAAGAACGGGCAUCGCAGAAGGGCCGCGCCCUCUGAUCUUCCCAGAGGACCAACCAGACUGUGAGUUAACGAGAUCUGAAGACUGGGCCUGUCAACUACAGUCGUCUCAAAAUAGUGAUGAGUCCAGAUGAUAUUUUGAGAUAAGUGCCUCAAUUGUAACAUGCCAUGAAAGUAGCUGUGAUUUCUGUUGGAGGAAAGAAAACAUCUCAGGCGAUGCUAAUACUCCAGGGCACUCUGCCUAGAUUUGUAAUUGAAUCAACUGCUAAACUGCAGCGAGAGGUGCCUGCCCCGAUGGGAAGAGAGUGCGAGAGUGGCCUCUCUUAUUAUUCCACAGGCAUUUCUUGAGCAUGUUAUAUCCUAGCAGCCCUGAGGAUAAACAGGUGAUCUUAGCAUCACCUCAGAGGUGAGAGUGAGCCUGAGAGGGGCUUCUGUCUAGGAGGGGAGGCACUGAGAGCAGUCAACUAAAAGCACAGUGAUGUUCAUGCGCGUCUGUGGGAAAGGAUCCAAGAAAGGAUGGUAGGAGAAGGAACCUGGAGGGGGCAGCCAUUUUGGAAAAGAUGACUCCAAAGGAGGAAGUAGGGUUGAGGCCUGAGGAAUUCUGGGAAACUGCCUGGGAAAGCUGCCUCAGUGCCACAGUGUCAGGGGCAGGAGUGGGACGGUGCCAAGAGGAAGUGCUUUGUAAAUAUCUGUCCAUUGCAAGAAUAAAAGAUUAUUUCUAAAUUGUGUCUCUCACACAUAGCCCAACAGUGGAAGUUACCCAUGGGAGUGAGGGUGGCUAAAUUGUAGAUUCUUGCCUCUACUGAUUCUAAAGGGUGGCAUUGUGCCCAGAAAAUGCCAUGUGAGCAGAUUUCCUAUCCUCCCGACACCCCCUCCCCUUUUAUAAUGGGUUCCCUCUCAUGCCCCAUCUCCAAAGCAGGCCACUGGGCCCCAGACUGCUUCUGUCUGUCUGGAGAGAGGCCAAAAUCGGAGCAACUGAGUGACUGGUGAGCAACCCUGCCCACCCUCCACCCCUUCUAGGUAUCUGCCAAGGCCCAGGGCCUUACCGUCCCUGAACGCUCUGUGCCCUCAGUGAAAGAAUGGAGCGUCAGCCUGCAGGAAUCAGUUGCAGACCCACACCCCUGUGUUCCAGGCUGGUCACAGGUAUGAGUCCCAGCUGGAUGACAGUACUUACACCUGUGCUAAACAGAGUCUUUGGGGCCUGUAGGAUCCUGCAGGGGUCACAGCCAUCAAUGCAGUUACUAGAUCUUAGGACUGGGGGAGUCGGCAGAGCUGCUGAGAGUGGUAGACAAUAUGCUGCGGCCUUGACUGUCUGUGGGGGUCCGUAGAUGGGGAUAUGCUCUUGGAUCUGGAGCCUCCAUGGGCGCCCAUGUAACCUUAGGUCUGUGUGCCUCUCCCCGGAUCUCUUUGAUGUCCAGCAGGUGACAGCCUCAUCUAAAGUGUGAUGGUGGUGACAGGCAGGAGGCCGCCCACUGCUGUGGUACAUGGGGAAGCAACUUAAGGAAGGAAAGGACAGGAUUGUUUCUGACACACGGUUUAAGGGGACACAGUCCUUUGUGUCUGGGAAGCAUGCAGCGGGGUGUGAAAGGUGUCCCAUUGUCACAGUCAGGGAACAGAGAUGAACGCCCGUGCUCAGCUUGCUUUCUCUUUUUGACUCUGUCCAAGAUGUCAGUUCAAGGCAUGGUGCCACCCACUUUCAAAAUGAACCUUUCCACCUUAGCUGAACCUCCUUAGACCUACGGUCACAGACACACCCAAGGGCUGUGUCUCCCAAGUGAUUUCAAAUUCAGUUAGCAAGGGUGAUUAAUCAGCACGGGGUGUAUAGAAUGUGGGCAGUGGGGCCUGAUGGGAUUACUCGCCCUUUCUCUGUCUCUCUCUGUCUGUGUCUGUCUGUCUGUCUGUCUGUCUGUCUGUCUGUCUGUCUCUCACACACACAACACACACACACACACACACAUACAGGAGGACACAUCCUUGCAUCUCAGGGGACUGUAAUGUAUACACUCCAGUGCCACUGACACCAGCAGCAGUGUGGGGCUGCAGGUGACACCAGGGAAGCUGCAGAUUUUGCUCACGUGAUCCAGAACUCAGGGAUGUGGAAAGCCUGACUCCAGGAGAGGAGGGGCAUGAGGACCAGAUGGGUUGUCGAGGCACUGUCGGAAGUCACCUACUGAUCGGAUCUGCUAAAGGCUCUUUCUUUCCAGCCGCCUGUGGAGUGGAAUUCCUGAGGCCCACAUGGGAGCUCACAGUUGCCCUUCAUACAUCCCACAGUCCUCCCAUGCCCCUAAGUUCCCACAAAAAGGAGCCUUGCCCCCAAGGCACUGGCCUACUUCACUCCUAUGAGAGACAGUGAACUUAGAAAGGGGUAGCAUUAGGAGUUCUGUGCCCUGUCUUGAGCCUGCUACCAGCAUGUAACUACAGGCCACAUCUUCCCCACCAGGCCUUUCUCUGUAGGCAGAGGGAUUAUGGCGUUGAUUUAAAACUCAGAGAAGAUUUCGUGGGAAGCUUCUCUACUCAAAAAAAAAAAAAAAAAAAAGCAAGUAGCAAUCAGGGAUAUCUUGCUCCGUUGGCUAAUGGUUCUGGAGUGCUGAACCACCCAGCAGGGGUUCUACCAAGAGACUAGAGUUCUCUUUCUGGGAAGUGAUUAAACUCCAUGUACUGAUCUUUGCUGCCCUCUGCUGGCCACAGCUGGCUGAGACACAAGGACACACGCUCCAUGCAUCUCAGACACAGCAGCCCUGAGAGAUGGGGAACCUGAUAUUCAGAAUGGGCAGGGCUUCCUCCAGGUCACACAGAAUCAGCCCUGCGCUUGCCUCCUCUUCAGCGAAGCGGUUACUCCUGCGCCAACAGCAGCAUUUCACUCAGAGACUCCAUAGAUAGGCACCUCACUGGACUGUAAUCCAGAGGAAGAUGGAAUCUCACUUUACAUGAAUUGGCUUAGUCAAACAAGCUGUAGCUCUAAUAUAUGAAGUUUCCUGGAUGCUCCGACAUGGAGAGGGCAUGGAGAGAGUGGGAUUUAGAGAGCACGAGGACUCCCCAGUGCUCACCCUUUCCAGGUGAGCUGCAGUCCUGAGAAGGCACUGGACGGUGCCUGGGGAUGUGGAAGCAGAGUCUUUUACAACUAGAGUUAAAUUAUUUCAUUAUAGGGUAAUCUUACUGAUAGACUUUAUAUAGGUCUUAGGAGACAGCUCAGUCAGUAAAGUGGUUUCUGUAUAAACAACACUAACACCAAGUUCUCUAUCAGGAGGAGGGGGAGGGGGAGGGGGAAGUAGUUGUCAUUGUUGUCCUCAUCAUAGUAAUAGCAGCUGUUGUUGUUGUUGUUGUUGUUGUUGUUGUUGUUGUUGCUGUUGUUGCAGAAGGGGGAGAGGCUGUAACAGAGCACCUGGAAGCUGAGCUCCAGUCAAAGAGAACAGAGAGCCUUGGAGAUCUGAGGCAGAGGAAGGGCCAUUAAGAGACACUUUCCUGUUUGCUCUGAAGUGGGAGGUGCUUCUGGUGCCUGCAUGGGACAGGUGAUUGGUAGAGCCAUUAACUAGACAGUAAAGAAAGGUAAGUAAGCAUCCUCGUUAGGGGUUCUCUUGCUGUGAAGAGACACCGUGACUACAGCAUUUAACCGGGGCUGGCUGACAGUUUCAGAGGUUUAAUCCACUAUUGUCAUGGCUGGAAACGUGGCAGCGUCCAGGCAGAUUUGGUUCUGGAAAGGUAGCUGAGACGUCUACAUCUUGGUCCGCAGGCACCAGGAAGAGGCUGAGACAUCCUAGACUUCCAUGAGCAUCUGGAAACCUUAAAGCCUAUCCUCAGUGACACACUUGCUCCAAGGAGGCCACACCCACCCCAACAAAGCCACGCCCACUCUAACGAGGCCACACCUCUCAAUAGUGCCAGUCCCUGUGAGCCUGUGUGGCCAUUCUCAUUCAGAGUAUCACAGCAAGGAAGGAGAGGAAGGGCAGAGACUGAACACUAGUGUCCAUUUUAUUCUUGCCCCUUUGGGCUAUCUCAUGCCUCUAAGUAUACUCGGUGAUCUAGAAUAUCCCUGGGUGGGAAUUUUCUUAAUAAUAAUAUGGUCACCUUGAGAAGACAGUGGUGAUGUUCUUAAACUUUGUUUUUUGGUGUUUCUGUCACUGUGGAAAAACUUCCUGACAUCAACUGGUAACAGAAGAGUUAAUUCUGGCUCACAGGUUCUGAGAUUUCAGUCCAAGCUUGGCUACAUCUGUUGCUUAAGGAAGGAGGUAAGGCAGAGUCUCUGUGGCACAGGCUGCUCACCUCCCAGUGCUCAGGAAGCAGAGACUCUACCAUCCUAGCGACCUUCCUCCUUCUUUCCCUCUUACUUCUGAUCCCAUGCCUGCAGGACGGUGCUACCUCCAUACGUGCAGGGCUCAUCUUCCACCUUUAGUUACCUCUAGAAACACCAACAGACACAUCCAGAAAAAUACUUUACUAAUCCCCAAGUGUCUUGAUCCAGUCAAAGUGACAUGAAGAUUAACCAACAGAGGCUAUCUGUAUACUUGUGAACAUGGCAACACCUUGGGACUUGGACACUCAGGCCUGUGUCCCAGAGAACAACACCCUGAACAAGAGUCUGCCCAUGUUCAAUGCAGUCUGCCAUCUUCAAUGGGCCUGACUAGGCAGGACAUGCCAAGCGACUGCAUGCUGCUGUUUUCAAGCCUUUCCCAUCUGUGGUCGGAACCAACAGCUUCACAAUCAGCAGAUAUGAGAGCUGACAAUGCACUCCUUCUAUCCCAGGAGCCAGCCAAGCCACUCCAGCCACCCAACUAAAAAUACAGCGAUACUGUGUGUUUUUAUUUUCACGGUUACUCUAACCAUUAAAUGAAUCUAGAAAAGAAUCUAA